rnacentral:RNase_P_RNA from 1 species
CAGUCGGAUAAUCGCGCUUAAAAAUUUUUUUUAAGUGAGGAAAGUCCGUGCAUCCAAGAACAGACAUCCGGAGAAACUCCGGGCGGCGCGAGCCGGCGGAUAGUGCCACAGAAAUGUAGACUGCCGAUGGAAGGCAAACUUCACAGGCGAUGGUGCAACGGUGAGUUAAGAGCUUCACCGGAGGAGUCGGAAGGCUCCUGCCAGGUAAACCCAUGUCGGAUGCAAGGUUGAGUUCAGGGUUAUAAAGGUCGUUCGCCAACUUGAGAAAAAACCGCUUGAACUUUGGAGUAAUCCAAAGGCCAGACAGAUGAUUAUCUAAAACAGAACACGGCUUACGGGCUGCUUUA